CUACUUGAUAUAUAUAAAAUUAAGUCAAAGAAGUCAUGUUGAUAAGUUGAGGCUUUGGACAACCUAUCUACCUCCAUCAACUAAUUCGAAGGCAAUAUUAGACAUUUUCACCGGAAAGGUGGUUGAAGUUGUUAGUGGAGAUUGCAGUAUUGAUGCUGAUGAAUCUCUAUUGGUUGCAGUCGAGUAGCUGCGAGCUGAGUCAAUCUCUCAAGUUUCAGGUGCCCUAAACUGGGAAAUCCAAGAAGAUAGGAGAAACCUACUUCUUAUGUCCGUAAAGCAAGAGAGAUUCUAAGAACAAGAUUAAUUGGCAACAUAAUACCUACAUGAUGUUUUCUAUAUUACUUAUUUUGUGUAACUCGCCUCUAUCAUAUCUGGGAAGUUUUGGUGGA